UGUUAGGACAGUCUCCACAAA
rnacentral:piRNA from 1 species